rnacentral:rRNA from 1 species
CGUAGGUGGCGAGCGUUGUCCGGAUUUACUGGGCGUAAAGGGAGCGUAGGUCGGUUUUUUAAGUGGGGUGUGAAAUCCCUGGGCUUAACCCAGGAAUUGCAUUCCAUACUGAAAGACUAGAGUGCAGGAGAGGAAAGUGGAAUUCCAAGUGUAGCGGUGAAAUGCGUAGAGAUUUGGAGGAACACCAGUGGCGAAGGCGACUUUCUGGACUGUAACUGACGCUGAGGCUCGAGAGCGUGGGGAGCAAACAGGAUUAGAUACCCUGGUAGUCCACGCUGUAAACGAUGAAUACUAGGUGUAGGGGGCGAAGCCCUCUGUGCCGCAGUUAACACAUUAAGUAUUCCGCCUGGGGAGUACGAUCGCAAGAUUA